GACGAACGCUGGCGGCGUGCUUAACACAUGCAAGUCGAACGGAAAGGCCCUGCUUUUGUGGGGUGCUCGAGUGGCGACCGGGUGAGUAACACGUGAGUAACCUGCCCUUGACUUUGGGAUAACUUCAGGCAACUGGGGCUAAUACCGGAUAGGAGCUCCUGCUGCAUGGUGGGGGUUGGAAAGUUUCGGCGGUUGGGGAUGGACUCGCGGCUUAUUAGCUUGUUGGGGGGGUAGUGGCUUACCAAGGCUUUGACGGGUAGCCGGCCUGGGCGGGUGACGGGCCACAUUGGGACUGAGAUACGGCCCAGACUCCUACGGGAGGCAGCAGUGGGGAAUAUUGCACAAUGGGCGGAAGCCUGAUGCAGCAACGCCGCGUGCGGGAUGACGGCCUUCGGGUUGUAAUCCGCUUUCGCCUGUGACGAAGCGUGAGUGACGGUAAUGGGUAAAGAAGCACCGGCUAACUACGUG
rnacentral:rRNA from 1 species